CACCAGCUGAUCUAGAAAGGCAUCUUGCUCCACCUGGAGCAGAAAUCUGCCACACAGAUGUAAGAGAAGGAGAAGAUGUCAAGAUUCCGACGAUAUCACAGACAUCGCAGCAAGAAAGGUGGUUGCCGUAAAGGAAAAGGACGUGGUAGGAAGCGAGGCAGGACAAAAAAAGGUGGUCGUGGAGGCAAAAAGAGAACAGGUGAUAGUUUAGUAGUUAUCUUACAUUCUGUACUGUAGUAUGUAUCCGUCUGGAAGGGAAUAACAUGUUGAUGACAUGCACAUUCCUUUAGAACUCUGCCAAUUCUCUUUCAAUCCAAGAGAUGACUUUAUGUCAAAUGGUCUUCUGUCAACCAGUAAAGGAGGGGUAAGCCAAUUGGGUGCCCUCUGGUACCUCAGCCCCUAUCAACUGCAGUCAGCAUGGCCCAUGAUCUGGGAUGAUGGGAGUUGUAGUCAGUGGCAGAGCAAGCCAGUUGGGUGCCUGGGGAGGCGUGCAUGCCCUGCACCCAGGGACAGGGCCAGCCACGCACACGGGGCGGUGUGGGGCAAGCCGGGGCAGGACGCUCCGCAGGGCCUCUGAGGAGUCUGCCUGCCUCCUCCCACUCAGCUGCCCUACAGCUGAGGGGGGCGGUGGCGGGCGAACUGUUUGCAGGCCCUGCGGUGAGUGCCGCCCGGCAUUUUGCCACCCCCCUCAGUGGUGACAUCCGGGACAACCCGCCCCCACCACACCCGUUCCUCCGCCCCUGGUUGUAGCCCAACCACUUCUGGAGGACACCAUGUUUGCUACCCUUGCAAGUAGAGUGUUUCAGAUGAAAACAAGAAAUGUGUUACAUGUGACACAUGCACCUUCAUAGGAUUAGAAUCAAAUAUUUAGGGAGGAAACAAGGAACAGGUGAAACUUGUUUAGCUCUUCUCCACCGUCUUUCUGCCCACUAGCUUGAAAUUCGGUGACUUUUUUUAUAUUUGUGCAGACACAUCUGCUCUAAAGUCUUAUGCAGACACAUAAUGGGGUUUUGGGUGGGGGUGUGUGUUAGCUGUGACGUUCCUGUACACCUAUGGGGUUUGCAGUGGGUAGCCCAUUGCUGCCUCCUGGGGAAAAAGUUUCUAUGUGAAAUCUGUGUGUAUGUUUGUGCAUGUUACCUGCUUACCAUAUUACCCUAACCUUUGAAAAAACCAUGAUCAUAUUGUUUAUUAACUGAAACAAACAAACAAGCUGAUCAUUCCCAUCAUUAAAGGAGGUUCCAUGGUUAAUUUUGCUCAGGAAACUGUGUAGCUUCCCUCUCCUCCUCAGUGUUAGUCACGCAUGAUCUUGCUAGGCUAUCUUAGUUCAGCCGUCCCAAACCUGGUGCAUGCAAGUUGUAGCCACCAAAAUAACAUGAAAAUCUGGAAGGCAGCAAGUUUAGUGAGACUGUUCUAGGGCACCCAGCAACUUCCUUAUUCAUUGCCUUCUGGGGCUUGGCUACACUCCUACUGCUGCUAAGGGUACCCAUGUUUUGGGGGCCUGGAGGAUGCUAAGAUGGUUAGAUGUCUAAAAGUGACCCAGCUGGCACCAGCACGCAGUGUAAUUGUGCAAAUCCUGAGGCCCUAGCAGAGACCGUCAUUGGUGUCAGUGGGCUUGGUAAAGCCUCAACGCAGAGGGGAAUGUAAGAUCUGAACAGCUGGGGUUAUUCUUGCCAUCAUUUUACCUCUUUUAGAAUUGCUCGAAUGUUUGCUUUGUAUGACAUUGAUGUACAAAACAUGGAGGUUGAUAGAAGUGACUAGAAGAGUGCUUUGUACAAAGGGCUGCUCUUUCCCAUGCUCAGCUUGCCCAGGGUGCAGGAUUUCAGUGCCUAAAGACAUAAUGAUGCACAUAUAUCUCUACUGGUUAUGGCACUGUCCAUCCCCACAACACAAAGUGGCACAGUCCAUUCUACCAAUUUAUCCAAUUGGUACCCUUGGGCAUAUAGUUUUGAUUCACCAGGAGACACCCACUAAUGGUGAAAGAGGGGUGGUGAUUUUUGCCAUUUCCCCUUCCUUCCUCUAGCCCCUAGAGCCCUUAAAAUCUGUUCUGGAGCUUCUCCUCUCCAUCUAAGUUGCCUCCCCUUCUCUUCUAUUAGUAGGGGAGCACUAGGAUGAGUUUUUGGAUUCCACCACAGGCCUCUGUAUAUGUCUGUUGAGUUGAGAUUGUGCUGGAGGAGUUGUGUGGUGAUGGCUUUGACAUGUUCACUUAAAGAUGUGGUAAAUCAGGUUGCUGAGUGUAAAAAACAUCUAGAUAUGACCAUAAAAAGAAAUCACCAUCAACUACAAAUGAAGCAUUUGAUUUGAUAAGUUUUUGAGACAGAUUUCUUACAUCCAUGCUCUUUAACUACUUAAAUUGUAGUUAAACUAUAAAGUUUUCAGUGACAAAGCAUGCAUUUUUGCUAAAAUUGCUGUUACCUGUCUCCUGAUCAUAUUAUGGAAGGGAGGGAGGGAGGGAGGAUCACUUUAUGAGCAUUGCAAUAUGGAUGUUUAUUUUAUUUAUAUAUUUAUAUGCUGUCUUUCUGAAUUAGGUCCACCCAACGUAGCCAAUAAGAGAUAAGCAUAGAAAUAAAAUAAAGUCGUCUUUAUUUUAUUGAUUUACAUUUUUUAAAAAUGCUCCACUUUUCCCCUCCAAGAAAAAGUUAUUCAAAGUGGCUUUAUCAAAAUAUAAACAGGAACACAAAAAUAAGAAUAAUUCAUCAUAAAAAACAUGGUUUUCUGACUAAAAGCAACAUCAUGGAACAAGGAGACAAAAGAGCCAAUACCAACAAUUAGCCAGUUAUAUGCAGCAAAAAAACCAGCCAGCAGAAUACAAAAAAGGAGGCUGAUUGCCACUUCUUAGGUGGGAUGCUACCACAGAGAAAGCCCUCACUUGUGCCACCACCAUAUGUGCCUCAGAAGGCAGCAACACAUGCAAUAAGGAUGCAGCAGAUGAUCUUAAGGCACAUUCACAUAGGAAGAGAUGGUUCUUUUAGUACCUUGGUUCCAAGCUUUCCAGAGGCCAGAACCAGCACUUUGAAUUGCGCCCAGAAACGAACUGGCAGCCAAUGCAGUCCAGAAAAUAUAUGUUUCCUGUGAUCCCAGCAAUUUGCCCCAGAAGAAGCAUCCUGUGCCAACUGAUGUUUCCCAGUGGUUUUCAAAGGCAGCCCCACAUAAGAUGCACGGCAGCAGCCCAAUCAAAAAGUAACAACUAAUGCACGUAGGACCAGGGUGCAUUCUGAUCAUAUCAAGACAAGCAGGGGAAUUUCAAAAUUUUAAAAAAUGUAAGAAACCAAAAAUACAUUAAAAUCAGGGGUGGUUUUUUUGUUCAAUCAGAACUCACUGGAACUCAGUACCAGCACCUCUCAGGUGGGCACCAUUGCCAUUAUAAGAGAACAAGGGAGGCAUUCAUGUUGAGUUCUGGCACCUCUUUUCCUAGAAAAAUAGCACUAAUUAAAAUAAAAUUCUGCUGGUAUCUCCGCAGCAAUAAAACACCAACAAAAUGGCGGCAUGAUUAAUAAACUAAGUUGAAAGUGAUGAGAAGUUGGUUGGUUUUCAAAGCUUUCUUAAAUCCUGCUAUUGAGAGUGCCAUCUUGGGGGAGAGUUCCAUAAGGAAGAGGCCACUACUGAUAAGACUCUGUAAAUUAACAUGGGCUGUUUUUUUUUCUUUGAAAAAAAAAAAAAGAAUGGUGGAUCAGGACCAUGAAUGUACUGACGUUUCUCAUUGUUCUUUCUUGCCUUCAAGGCCGUCACCACUACAGGAGGUGUGUGCUAUACUAACUGGACCGGUUUGGAACAAAGGAGUCCUAGCAAUGUAAUCACUGACUGAGCAGAACUGACAUCUUUCUCCAAACAAGUCAUCAGCGUACAGGGUCAGGAAAUGUUAGAAAACGUUUCCAAUUAAACCUACCUGGGCUGGAAUUUCUGCAGCAUCUUUAUGUGUUA
rnacentral:lncRNA from 1 species